rnacentral:rRNA from 1 species
GGAAAGGCUUAGUGGCGGACGGGUGAGUAACGCGUGGGUAACCUGGCCCAUACAGGGGGAUAACACUUAGAAAUAGGUGCUAAUACCGCAUAACAACAGAAAGCGCAUGCUUUUUGUUUGAAAACCAAGGUGGUAUGGGAUGGACCCGCGUCUGAUUAGCUGGUUGGCGGGGUAAAGGCCCACCAAGGCGACGAUCAGUAGCCGGCCUGAGAGGGUGGACGGCCACAUUGGGACUGAGACACGGCCCAAACUCCUACGGGAGGCAGCAGUGGGGAAUAUUGCACAAUGGGGGAAACCCUGAUGCAGCGACGCCGCGUGAGUGAAGAAGUAAUUCGUUAUGUAAAGCUCUAUCAGCAGGGAAGAAAAUGACGGUACCUGAGUAAGAAGCCCCGGCUAACUACGUGCCAGCAGCCGCGGUAAUACGUAGGGGGCAAGCGUUAUCCGGAUUUACUGGGUGUAAAGGGAGCGUAGACGGCAGUGCAAGUCUGGAGUGAAAGGCGGGGGCUCAACCCCCGGACUGCUCUGGAAACUGUACGGCUGGAGUGCAGGAGAGGUAAGUGGAAUUCCUA